rnacentral:rRNA from 1 species
UAUGAUGGGUAAGGGCAACCCGAAUUAUCUGAAUGCUUUGCUUCCAAGAAAAACUUCUAAAGAUAUGGUUAUGGUACUCGUACCAAGAACGAACACACGUGGUCAGGGAGAAUAUCCUCAGGCCAGCGAGCAAACUAUAGUUAAGGAACUCGGCAAAUUAACCCCGUAAGUUCGCGAGAAGGGGUGCCUAGGGCAACCUAGGCCGCAGUGAAGAGGCACCGGCAACUGUCUAUCAACAACACAGCUCUCUGCUAACUCGUAAGAGGAUGUAUAGGGGGCGACGCCUGCCCAGUGCUCCAAGGUUAAGAGGAGGGGUUAGCCAGUAGUAAGAUACUGGUGAAGCUCUGAAUCGAAGCCCGAGUGAACGGCGGCCGUAACUAUAACGGUCCAAAGGUAGCGAAAUUCCUUGUCAGGUGAAAAGAAUUUGCCUGAAAAUAGUAGUAAUACUGUUUAAGUAAACUGACUAAUAACGGUGAACCCUAAGUUUUAGUUCUUUGCCAAAAUAUGGGAAUACCGUGGGAAUGCAAAAUUAUUUGUGACCCGUAACGACUGAGGCGAAAGCUGAGAACUUGAGAAAAACAGGUUAAUACGUUAGCCCUUAUCUAGUAAAAGACAAUUAUGGAAACUAUUAGGAAUAUCAUUAAUUUCCUAAGAUUGUUAGAUAAGGUGAAGAUAUAGUCUGAACUAAUAGGAAACUAUUAGCUAACACAAUUGAAGUUCUGACCCGCAUGAAAGGCGUAACGAUUCGUGCACUGUCUCAACUAUAGACUCGGUGAAAUCUUAGUACCGGUGAAGAUGCCGGUUACCCACAACUAGACGGAUAGACCCCGUGGAGCUUUACUGCAGCCUGAUAUUGGACUUUUUUCUGGAUUGCUCAGGAUAGGUGGGAGACUGUGAUAUCAGCGUUUUGGCGCUGGUGGAGUCAAUGGUGAGAUACCACUCCUUUCAGCAGGAAGUUCUAACUUGUUGGUUUACAACCAAAAGGACAGUGUUUGGUGGGUAGUUUAACUGGGGCGGUUGCCUCCUAAAGAGUAACGGAGGCGUUCAAAGGUAUCCUCAGCAGGAAUAGACAUCCUGUGUCGAGCGUAAAGGUAAAAGGAUGCUUAACUGUAAGACCCACUAGUCGAGCAGAUACGAAAGUAGGACUUAGUGAUCCGGCGGUGCUUAGUGGUAAGGCCGUCGCUAAACGGACAAAAGUUACCCCGGGGAUAACAGGCUAAUACUUCCCAAGAGAUCACAUCGACGGAAGUGUUUGGCACCUCGAUGUCGGCUCAUCGCAUCCUGGUGGGGCAGAACCUACCAAGGGUUGGGCUGUUCGCCCAUUAAAGCGGUACGUGAGUUGGGUUCAGAACGUCGUGAGACAGUUUGGUCCCUAUCUGUUGUGGGCGUAGGAAAUUUGCGAAGAUCUGCUCUUAGUACGCAAGGACCAGAGUGGACUGACCAAUGGUGUACCAGUUGUCCUGUCAAGGGCACGGCUGGCUAGCUACGUCGGGAUUAGAUAAGCACUGAAAGCAUAUAAGUGCGAAACUAACUUCAAGAUAAGAUUUCCCAUCCGUAAGGAGUAAGAUACCUUCUAGACCAGGAGGUUGAUAGGUGGCAAAUGU